CCAUGUCUCCUACCGCAGAUUUCCACAAGCAGUUCAAAGAAAGAAAGAAAACACUCAACGCCUCACGCCAUUUUCUCCUCCCAUCACGCACACCUCUCCCGAUCUCCUCUGCCGCCGCCUCCGCCACGACGGACAGAUCCCGGCCAGCUCCGGCGACUCCUCGCGUUGCUCAGCACCGCCCCGGCACCACAUCCUCGUCCUCCACCGAUUCCAUGCCGCGGAACCAUCGAUCUGAUGCUCCCCGUCGAACCCUAGCAGCGAUGUACCCCGUCUUGUUGGUGCCGCCAGACCCAUGCAACGCGACUCCAGGCCCAGCUCCUUCAGCGAAGAAACCGUGGCGGCGCGGUUGCCUUUCUCGCCGGUGCGCGGUUGGUUCGAGCGCCGCGCUCCGUCGAGCUCGCCAGACCGCGUCGCGCUCGUGGCCGAUGCAGUUGGGAGGGCGCUGCACGCCGGCCACCUGGACGGGACGGCGGCGACGCGAGCCAUGGACGGCCGCUCAUGCCGACGUCCUCCACGCGUCUCCUCUGAGGAGGGGACGGGAUCUCGUCCGUCGGCAUCACCGACGCAGCUCCCCGCUCUGCAAGGACUGCUGCGCGCGCGGCUUCCCCGUGGCCGGCCAUGUGAAGCCACCGUUUGUCCGCAGUCACCGGGAGAUGCCUGAAAUUCAUGUGUCGCCCUCCAUCGAUGCCAUGCCGCGGAACCGUUGAUCUGAUGCUCCCCGUCGAACCCUACCAGCGAUGUAUCUCCUCUUGUUGGCGCCGCCGGACCCCUGAGAUGUGGCUCCAGGCCUAGCUCCUUCAGCCAUGAACCUGUGGCGGUGCAGUUGGCUUUCUCACCGGUGCGCGCAUGCAUCGGUUGGUUCGGGCGCGGCGCUCCGUCGAGCUCGCCAGACCGCAUCGCACGCGUUGCCGAUGCACUUGGGAGGGCGCUGCACGCCGGCCAUCAGGGCGGGACGGCGGCGCCGUGAGCCAUGGAGGGAUGCUCAUGCCACCGUCCUCCACGCAUCUCCUCUAAGGACGGGACAGAAGGCUUGUCCGUCGGCAUUGCCGGCGCGACUCCCCGCCAUGUGCUGCCCGCCAUGUGAGGCCAUCGUCUGUUUGCAGCCAUUGGAGUGGACGGUGGAGUGUCUCAGAGGAAGGCGCCUCACCAAAUUGGAAGAGGGCUUAGUGUGUGAACCUGAUGAAUGUCGCACCCUUGCAGUCAGGAUUUUCCCUGGAAUCACAUUUUUGAUACGAGAUCUGGUAGAUGAAGGAUUUGGUUGAGUUGCCGGGAUUGAGAUGCUGGGGCGCAGGGAUACUGCACUUGACAUGGCCAAGUUUGUCUACAUGGAUGUCCAUGUGAAGCUCACUGAUGGCCGGCAAGGUGUAGCUUAUGCUUGGAUAUUCAAUGUAUGUUUUGUGAUAUGUCAUGGUGCAUUUCUUUCCAGCUACAUUAGAAAACUACACUAUUGGUCUCCAGGGCUUCCUUGUCUUCAACGCUGUUGGAGGUGGAACUUGCUAUGGCCUUGGUUCUCUUCUCCUUGAGCAGCUCUUUGUUGACUGUGGAAUAAAUUACAAGCUUGAGUUCACUUGUGUGUCCUCACUCUCUCAUUGAACACAUUUAUGUGGUUGUUCUUAACAACGAGGCUAUCUAUGCCAUCUGCCUCUAGUCCCUUGAUAUUGAGCGCCCAACCUACACCAACCUGAACAUGCUUAUGUCUCAGGUCAUAUCAUCAUUGGCUUCUCCUCUGGGGCUUGUUGGUGUUCCGAGUGUUGAUGUCAAUGACCUCCAAACCAAUCUGGUGGCCUACCCAAGUAUCCACUUCGUGCUUUCCUCGUAUACGCGCAAUUUAGGUACCUCCGCUGGAAUACUAGAGGCGAUGACACUAAAGUCUUGAUCAAAGGUCAAUGAUGCGCCCCUGGAAUCGUUCCGUGCCUGGCUGCUAAUUGGUGUAUUUUCCUUGUAUUCCAAGGACGCGGUGCUGAUGUUGUUCCUCCAGAUGCGUAGUCGCUGCCACCGCAAGAAAGAUGACGACAUACUGCUGCUAGGUUACUCCACACGCUGCUGUAUGCCGGUCAAUGGUGUGCCCCUGGGAUCGUUCCGUGCCUGGCUGCUAAUUGAUGUAUUUUCCUUGUAUGAAGGAUAAGAUGCUGGUGUUGUUCCUCCAGAUGCGCCGUCGCUGCCACCGCGAGAAAGAUCCCGACUGCUGCUGCUAGUUGACCCCCCAUGCUGAUGUGCACUGCUCAAUCUACUAUGCACCUUUGUUGAUUGCGAUAAUCUGUGCUGGCUGCUAUGAAGCUUGGUGUGGGCUAAGCAAUUUCAAGUAGUGCCCACUUCCCCUUGACAAGAAAUGCAUUGCAGAAGUAAUAGUAACUGGACAAGCUUUAAAAAAGAUGUUUGUUGAUGCAUACCACACGGUAUAUAUAAUAAGCGUUGUAGCAGCUUUAGUGCAUUUUAAUGAUUGUUCAUCUUUGCGAUUGUAUUGAGUUUCUCUCGCGGCAACCUGUGUGAUGGCCUACAAUAUUUUCAUGGGGAUUCCUGAGCCAUCGACCAGGUUUAAUUUUUGGGCAGAGUUAAUGUUAUGUUGUGAACUAAACGAGUCCAAAAAAAAAGGCAAAUGGCGUUUGAAAUC